rnacentral:rRNA from 1 species
CGGAUUGAAGGCUGAAAUUCGCCUUCAUGAAGCCGGAAUUGCUAGUAAUGGCAGGUCAGCAUACUGCCGUGAAUACGUUCCCGGGCCUUGUACACACCGCCCGUCACACCAUGAGAGUUGGGGAUACCCGAAGCCUGUGAGCUAACAGUAAUGAAGCAGCAGUCGAAGGUAGAAUCAAUGAUUGGGGUGAAGUCGUAACAAGGUAUC